AAGGGCGCGUAGGCGGAUUAUCAAGUCUCUUGUGAAAUCUAAUGGCUUAACCAUUAAACUGCUUGGGAAACUGAUAGUCUAGAGUGAGGGAGAGGCAGAUGGAAUUGGUGGUGUAGGGGUAAAAUCCGUAGAUAUCACCAAGAAUACCCAUUGCGAAGGCGAUCUGCUGGAACUCAACUGACGCUAAGGCGCGAAAGCGUGGGGAGCAAACAGGAUUAGAUACCCUGGUAGUCCACGCCCUAAACGAUGUACACUAGUUGUUGGGAUGCUAGUCAUCUCAGUAAUGCAGCUAACGCAUUAAGUGUACCGCCUGGGGAGUACGGUCGCAAGAUUAAAACUCAAAGGAAUAGACGGGGACCCGCACAAGCGGUGGAGCAUGUGGUUUAAUUCGAGGAUACGCGAAGAACCUUACCUGGGCUUGAUAUCCUAAGAACCUUAUAGAGAUAGGAGGGUGCUAGCUUGCUAGAACUUAGAGACAGGUGCUGCACGGCUGUCGUCAGCUCGUGUCGUGAGAUGUUGGGUUAAGUCCCGCAACGAGCGCAACCCACGUAUUUAGUUGCUAACGGUUCGGCCGAGCACUCUAAAUAGACUGCCUUCGUAAGGAGGAGGAAGGUGUGGACGACGUCAAGUCAUCAUGGCCCUUAUGCCCAGGGCGACACACGUGCUACAAUGGCAUAUACAAUGAGACGCAAUACCGCGAGGUGGAGCAAAUCUAUAAAAUAUGUCCCAGUUCGGAUUGUUCUCUGCAACUCGAGAGCAUGAAGCCNGAAUCGCUAGUAAUCGUAGAUCAGCCAUGCUACGGUGAAUA
rnacentral:rRNA from 1 species